AUACGGAGGGAGCUAGCGUUGUUCGGAAUUACUGGGCGUAAAGCGCACGUAGGCGGACUGGUCAGUUGGAGGUGAAAUCCCAGGGCUCAACCCUGGAACUGCCUUCAAUACUGCCAGUCUAGAGAUCGGAAGAGGUAAGUGGAAUUCCUAGUGUAGAGGUGAAAUUCGUAGAUAUUAGGAGGAACACCAGUGGCGAAGGCGGCUUACUGGUCCGAUACUGACGCUGAGGUGCGAAAGCGUGGGGAGCAAACAGGAUUAGAAACCCCAGUAGUCC
rnacentral:rRNA from 1 species